rnacentral:rRNA from 1 species
GAUGAACGCUGGCGGCGUGCCUAAUACAUGCAAGUCGAGCGAACGGACGAGAAGCUUGCUUCUCUGAUGUUAGCGGCGGACGGGUGAGUAACACGUGGAUAACCUACCUAUAAGACUGGGAUAACUUCGGGAAACCGGAGCUAAUACCGGAUAAUAUUUUGAACCGCAUGGUUCAAAAGUGAAAGACGGUCUUGCUGUCACUUAAAGAUGGAUCCGCGCUGCAUUAGCUAGUUGGUAAGGUAACGGCUUACCAAGGCAACGAUGCAUAGCCGACCUGAGAGGGGGAUCGGCCACACUGGAACUGGGACACGGUCCAGACUCCUACGGGAGGCAGCAGUAGGGAAUCUUCCGCAAUGGGCGAAAGCCUGACGGAGCAACGCCGCGUGAGUGAUGAAGGUCUUCGGAUCGUAAAACUCUGUUAUUAGGGAAGAACAUAUGUGUAAGUAACUGUGCACAUCUUGACGGUACCUAAUCAGAAAGCCACGGCUAACUACGUG